UACGUAGGGUGCAAGCGUUAAUCGGAAUUACUGGGCGUAAAGCGUGCGCAGGCGGUUUUGUAAGUCAGAUGUGAAAUCCCCGGGCUUAACCUGGGAACUGCGUUUGAAACUACAAGGCUAGAGUGUGGCAGAGGGGGGUGGAAUUCCACGUGUAGCAGUGAAAUGCGUAGAGAUGUGGAGGAACACCGGUGGCGAAGGCAGCCCCCUGGGCCAAUACUGACGCUCAUGCACGAAAGCGUGGGGAGCAAACAGG
rnacentral:rRNA from 1 species